CACCUUUCAAGUGAGUGGCGAACGGGUGAGUAACACGUGGACAACCUGCCUCAAGGCUGGGGAUAACAUUUGGAAACAGAUGCUAAUACCGAAUAAAACUUAGUGUCGCAUGACAAAAAGUUAAAAGGCGCUUCGGCGUCACCUAGAGAUGGAUCCGCGGUGCAUUAGUUAGUUGGUGGGGUAAAGGCCUACCAAGACAAUGAUGCAUAGCCGAGUUGAGAGACUGAUCGGCCACAUUGGGACUGAGACACGGCCCAAACUCCUACGGGAGGCUGCAGUAGGGAAUCUUCCACAAUGGGCGAAAGCCUGAUGGAGCAACGCCGCGUGUGUGAUGAAGGCUUUCGGGUCGUAAAGCACUGUUGUAUGGGAAGAACAGCUAGAAUAGGAAAUGAUUUUAGUUUGACGGUACCAUACCAGAAAGGGACGGCUAAAUACGUGCCAGCAGCCGCGGUAAUACGUAUGUCCCGAGCGUUAUCCGGAUUUAUUGGGCGUAAAGCGAGCGCAGACGGUUUAUUAAGUCUGAUGUGAAAGCCCGGAGCUCAACUCCGGAAUGGCAUUGGAAACUGGUUAACUUGAGUGCAGUAGAGGUAAGUGGAACUCCAUGUGUAGCGGUGGAAUGCGUAGAUAUAUGGAAGAACACCAGUGGCGAAGGCGGCUUAC
rnacentral:rRNA from 1 species